GUAGGUGGCAAGCGUUGUCCGGGAAUUAUUGGGGCGUAAAGCGCGCGCAGGCGGUUCUUUAAGUCUGAUGUGAAAGCCCACGGGCUCAACCGUGGAGGGUCAUUGGAAACUGGAAGACUUGAGUACAGAAGAGGAAAGCGGAAUUCCACGUGUAGCGGUGAAAUGCGUAGAGAUGUGGAGGAACACCAGUGGCGAAGGCGGCCUUCUGGUCUGUAACUGACGCUGAGGCGCGAAAGCGUGGGGAGCAAACAGGAUUAGAUACCCUGGUAGUCCACGCCGUAAACGAUGAGUGCUAAGUGUUAGGGGGUUUCCGCCCCUUAGUGCUGCAGCUAACGCAUUAAGCACUCCGCCUGGGGAGUACGGCCGCAAAGGCUG
rnacentral:rRNA from 1 species